GGGUUGUGAGGUUAAGCGACUAAGCGUACACGGUGGAUGCCCUGGCAGUCAGAGGCGAUGAAGGGCGUGCUAAUCUGCGAUAAGCGCCGGUAAGGUGAUAUGAACCGUUAUAACCGGCGAUACCCGAAUGGGGAAACCCAGUGUGAUUCGUCACACUAUCAUUAACUGAAUCCAUAGGUUAAUGAGGCGAACCGGGGGAACUGAAACAUCUAAGUACCCCGAGGAAAAGAAAUCAACCGAGAUUCCCCCAGUAGCGGCGAGCGAACGGGGAGGAGCCCAGAGCCUGAAUCAGCAUGUGUGUUAGUGGAAGCGUCUGGAAAGGCGCGCGAUACAGGGUGACAGCCCCGUACACAAAAGCGCAUGUGCUGUGAGCUCGAUGAGUAGGGCGGGACACGUGGUAUCCUGUCUGAAUAUGGGGGGACCAUCCUCCAAGGCUAAAUACUCCUGACUGACCGAUAGUGAACCAGUACCGUGAGGGAAAGGCGAAAAGAACCCCGGCGAGGGGAGUGAAAAAGAACCUGAAACCGUGUACGUACAAGCAGUGGGAGCACAGGUUUACCUGUGUGACUGCGUACCUUUUGUAUAAUGGGUCAGCGACUUAUAUUCUGUAGCAAGGUUAACCGAAUAGGGGAGCCGGAGGGAAACCGAGUCUUAACCGGGCGUUAAGUUGCAGGGUAUAGACCCGAAACCCGGUGAUCUAGCCAUGGGCAGGUUGAAGGUUGGGUAACACUAACUGGAGGACCGAACCGACUAAUGUUGAAAAAUUAGCGGAUGACCUGUGGCUGGGGGUGAAAGGCCAAUCAAACCGGGAGAUAGCUGGUUCUCCCCGAAAGCUAUUUAGGUAGCGCCUCGUGAAUUCAUCUCCGGGGGUAGAGCACUGUUUCGGCUAGGGGGCCAUCCCGGCUUACCAACCCGAUGCAAACUGCGAAUACCGGAGAAUGUUAUCACGGGAGACACACGGCGGGUGCUAACGUCCGUCGUGAAGAGGGAAACAACCCAGACCGCCAGCUAAGGUCCCAAAGUCAUGGUUAAGUGGGAAACGAUGUGGGAAGGCCCAGACAGCCAGGAUGUUGGCUUAGAAGCAGCCAUCAUUUAAAGAAAGCGUAAUAGCUCACUGGUCGAGUCGGCCUGCGCGGAAGAUGUAACGGGGCUAAACCAUGCACCGAAGCUGCGGCAGCGAACGUAUCACUUAAAGCGAUUCAGCGGGUUACGAUUGACGGAGCGAAGCGACGUCAAAGCGUAUACAAAGUCGAGUCGGUUUAAGGAUACGUUCGUUGGGUAGGGGAGCGUUCUGUAAGCCUGCGAAGGUGGCCUGUGAGGGUUGCUGGAGGUAUCAGAAGUGCGAAUGCUGACAUAAGUAACGAUAAAGCGGGUGAAAAGCCCGCUCGCCGGAAGACCAAGGGUUCCUGUCCAACGUUAAUCGGGGCAGGGUGAGUCGACCCCUAAGGCGAGGCCGAAAGGCGUAGUCGAUGGGAAACGGGUUAAUAUUCCCGUACUUGGUGUUACUGCGAAGGGGGGACGGAGAAGGCUAUGUUGGCCGGGCGACGGUUGUCCCGGUUUAAGCGUGUAGGUGUGUGUUCCAGGUAAAUCCGGUUCACUUUAACACUGAGGCGUGAUGACGAGGCACUACGGUGCUGAAGUAACAAAUGCCCUGCUUCCAGGAAAAGCCUCUAAGCAUCAGGUAACAUCAAAUCGUACCCCAAACCGACACAGGUGGUCAGGUAGAGAAUACCAAGGCGCUUGAGAGAACUCGGGUGAAGGAACUAGGCAAAAUGGUGCCGUAACUUCGGGAGAAGGCACGCUGACACGUAGGUGAAGUGAUUUACUCACGGAGCUGAAGUCAGUCGAAGAUACCAGCUGGCUGCAACUGUUUAUUAAAAACACAGCACUGUGCAAACACGAAAGUGGACGUAUACGGUGUGACGCCUGCCCGGUGCCGGAAGGUUAAUUGAUGGGGUCAGCGCAAGCGAAGCUCCUGAUCGAAGCCCCGGUAAACGGCGGCCGUAACUAUAACGGUCCUAAGGUAGCGAAAUUCCUUGUCGGGUAAGUUCCGACCUGCACGAAUGGCGUAAUGAUGGCCAGGCUGUCUCCACCCGAGACUCAGUGAAAUUGAACUCGCUGUGAAGAUGCAGUGUACCCGCGGCAAGACGGAAAGACCCCGUGAACCUUUACUAUAGCUUGACACUGAACAUUGAGCCUUGAUGUGUAGGAUAGGUGGGAGGCUUUGAAGUGUGGACGCCAGUCUGCAUGGAGCCGACCUUGAAAUACCACCCUUUAAUGUUUGAUGUUCUAACGUGGACCCGUUACCCGGGUUACGGACAGUGUCUGGUGGGUAGUUUGACUGGGGCGGUCUCCUCCUAAAGAGUAACGGAGGAGCACGAAGGUUGGCUAAUCCUGGUCGGACAUCAGGAGGUUAGUGCAAUGGCAUAAGCCAGCUUGACUGCGAGCGUGACGGCGCGAGCAGGUGCGAAAGCAGGUCAUAGUGAUCCGGUGGUUCUGAAUGGAAGGGCCAUCGCUCAACGGAUAAAAGGUACUCCGGGGAUAACAGGCUGAUACCGCCCAAGAGUUCAUAUCGACGGCGGUGUUUGGCACCUCGAUGUCGGCUCAUCACAUCCUGGGGCUGAAGCAGGUCCCAAGGGUAUGGCUGUUCGCCAUUUAAAGUGGUACGCGAGCUGGGUUUAGAACGUCGUGAGACAGUUCGGUCCCUAUCUGCCGUGGGCGCUGGAGAACUGAGGGGGGCUGCUCCUAGUACGAGAGGACCGGAGUGGACGCAUCACUGGUGUUCGGGUUGUCAUGCCAAUGGCACUGCCCGGUAGCUAAAUGCGGAAGAGAUAAGUGCUGAAAGCAUCUAAGCACGAAACUUGCCCCGAGAUGAGUUCUCCCUGAGACUUAGAGUCUCCUGAAGGAACGUUGAAGACGACGACGUUGAUAGGCCGGGUGUGUAAGCGCAGCGAUGCGUUGAGCUAACCGGUACUAAUGAACCGUGAGGCUUAACCUUACAACGCCGAAG
rnacentral:rRNA from 2 species